AGGCACUGGAUCACCGCCUGCAUAACGCUUUGCUCUUUCUUUCUUCAACAUUGUCUAUAACUAAAAGAUUUACAUUGUGUCGUUGUUCAACAUAAAUCUUUUGGUCCUAUGAGUUUUUUAUACCUUUUAUCUAACUAUGAAUCUCACACUAUGAAACAUGGAACUGGACAUAGUAGAGAAGGAGAAGGAUAAAUUCAUCAGUGACUUCUUAAACGAAAAUUAGCAAAAGUAAAAGUCAAAGCUACUUAGGAGCUCAAGUGGUGAGAAGAAGUGGGGUUUGUUCAUCGCC